rnacentral:rRNA from 1 species
AAUGAACGCUGGCGGCGCGCCUAAUACAUGCAAGUCGAGCGAGAAGACGUAGCAAUACGUUUGUAAAGCGGCGAACGGGUGAGGAAUACAUGGGUAACCUACCCUCGAGUGGGGAAUAACUAGCCGAAAGGUUAGCUAAUACCGCGUACGCUCCUUGGACUUCGGUUCAGGGAGGAAAGCGAUACCGUGGGUAUCGCGCUCUUGGAUGGGCUCAUGUCCUAUCAGCUUGUUGGUGAGGUAACGGCUCACCAAGGCUUCGACGGGUAGCUGGUCUGAGAGGACGGAUCAGCCACACUGGCACUGCGACACGGGCCAGACUCCUACGGGAGGCAGCAGUAAGGAAUAUUGCGCAAUGGGCG